rnacentral:rRNA from 1 species
CAAGAUUAAAACUCAAAGGAAUUGACGGGGACCCGCACAAGCGGUGGAUGAUGUGGAUUAAUUCGAUGCAACGCGAAAACCUUACCUACCCUUGACAUGUCAGGAAGUCCGCUGAGAGGUGGAUGUGCCCGAAAGGGAACCUGAACACAGGUGCUGCAUGGCUGUCGUCAGCUCGUGUCGUGAGAUGUUGGGUUAAGUCCCGCAACGAGCGCAACCCUUGUCAUUAAUUGCCAUCAUUCAGUUGGGCACUUUAAUGAGACUGCCGGUGACAAACCGGAGGAAGGUGGGGAUGACGUCAAGUCCUCAUGGCCCUUAUGGGUAGGGCUUCACACGUCAUACAAUGGUCGGUACAGAGGGUCGCCAACCCGCGAGGGGGAGCCAAUCCCACAAAGCCGAUCGUAGUCCGGAUCGCAGUCUGCAACUCGACUGCGUGAAGUCGGAAUCGCUAGUAAUCGUGGAUCAGCAUGUCACGGUGAAUACGUUCCCGG